rnacentral:rRNA from 1 species
GAUUAACGCUAGCGGCAGGCCUAAUACAUGCAAGUCGAACGGCAGCGGGUCCAGCAAUGGAUGCCGGCGAGUGGCGCACGGGUGCGUAACACGUAUGCAAUCUACCCUUAACUGGGGAAUAGCCCCGAGAAAUCGGGAUUAAUACCCCAUAAUAUUAUGAUGAGGCAUCUCAUUAUAAUUAAAGCUCCGGCGGUUUUGGAUGAGCAUGCGCGACAUUAGUUAGUUGGUGAGGUAACGGCUCACCAAGGCAGCGAUGUCUAGGGGUUCUGAGAGGAUUCACCCCCACACUGGUACUGAGACACGGACCAGACUCCUACGGGAGGCAGCAGUAAGGAAUAUUGGGCAAUGGGCGCAAGCCUGACCCAGCCAUGCCGCGUGCAGGAUGACGGCCCUACGGGUUGUAAACUGCUUUUGUACGGGAAAAAACCCCCGGUCGUGAAUCGGGGUUGAUGGUACCGUAAGAAUAAGCAUCGGCUAACUCCGUGCCAGCCGCCGCGGUAA